GAUGAACGCUGGCGGCGUGCCUAAUACAUGCAAGUCGAGCGAACAGACGAGGAGCUUGCUCCUCUGACGUUAGCGGCGGACGGGUGAAUAACACGUGGAUAACCUACCUAUAAGACUGGGAUAACUUCGGGAAACCGGAGCUAAUACCGGAUAAUAUAUUGAACCGCAUGGUUCAAUAGUGAAAGACGGUUUUGCUGUCACUUAUAGAUGGAUCCGCGCCGCAUUAGCUAGUUGGUAAGGUAACGGCUUACCAAGGCAACGAUGCGUAGCCGACCUGAGAGGGUGAUCGGCCACACUGGAACUGAGACACGGUCCAGACUCCGACGGGAGGCAGCAGUAGGGAAUCUUCCGCAAUGGGCGAAAGCCUGACGGAGCAACGCCGCGUGAGUGAUGAAGGUCUUCGGAUCGUAAAACUCUGUUAUUAGGGAAGAACAAAUGUGUAAGUAACUAUGCACGUCUUGACGGUACCUAAUCAGAAAGCCACGGCUAACUACGUG
rnacentral:rRNA from 1 species